rnacentral:rRNA from 1 species
AGGAUGAACGCUGGCGGCGUGCUUAACACAUGCAAGUCGAGCGGUAAGGCUCCUUCGGGAGUACACGAGCGGCGAACGGGUGAGUAACGCGUGAGCAAUCUGCCCUUCACACUGGGGAUAAACCCCCGGGAAACCGGGGCUAAGUACCGGAUGCGACCACCGACGGCAUCGUCUGGUGGUGGAAAGUUCCGGCGGUGGGGGAUGAGCUCGCGGCCUAUCAGCUUGUUGGUGGGGUAAUGGCCUACCAAGGCUUCGACGGGUA